rnacentral:rRNA from 1 species
GACGAAUGCUGGCGGCGUGCUUAACACAUGCAAGUCGAACGGAAAGGCCCUGCUUUUGUGGGGUGCUCGAGUGGCGAACGGGUGAGUAACACGUGAGUAGCCUGCCCUUGACUUUGGGAUAACUUCAGGAAACUGGGGCUAAUACCGGAUAGGAGCUCCUGCUGCAUGGUGGGGGUUGGAAAGUUUCGGCGGUUGGGGAUGGACUCGCGGCUUAUCAGCUUGUUGGUGGGGUAGUGGCUUACCAAGGCUUUGACGGGUAGCCGGCCUGAGAGGGUGACCGGCCACAUUGGGACUGAGAUACGGCCCAGACUCCUACGGGAGGCAGCAGUGGGGAAUAUUGCACAAUGGGCGGAAGCCUGAUGCAGCAACGCCGCGUGCGGGAUGACGGCCUUCGGGUUGUAAACCGCUUUCGCCUGUGACGAAGCGUGAGUGACGGUAAUGGGUAAAGAAGCACCGGCUAACUACGUG